rnacentral:rRNA from 1 species
CACGUAGGGCGCAAGCGUUGUCCGGAAUUAUUGGGCGUAAAGGGCGCGCAGGCGGUCUUGAAAGUCAGGCGUGAAAGCCCCGGGCUUAACCUGGGAAUUGCGCUUGAUACUCUGAGACUGGAGUACGGGAGAGGAGAGUGGAAUUCCCAGUGUAGAGGUGAAAUUCGUAGAUAUUAGGAAGAACACCAGUGGCGAAGGCGGCUCACUGGCCCGGUACUGACGCUGAGGCGCGAAAGCGUGGGGAGCAAACAGG